GUCAGAAGAGCGCCCAAAGAUGAAUUGCGCUUUCGUGUGUUGGAAGCACAAUGUAUCAAUCGCAUUAGGCCCUCUAUAAACCGUUAGAAUGAGCUUAGUGACGCUUUCCUUAUUACUUGAUUUUUUUUUUUUUUUUUUUUUCCCUUAAUACUUUCCAACACCUGUUGCUUAUUAGCACAGUAUAUAUAAGACCUGGCCUGCCUAAUUCCUGUCUCAGUUGCUGAUGUGUCAUUGAUACGACAAAAUAUUCAACACUAUUCUUGUGGAUUGCUAUAUUCACUCUUUAGGUCAUUUAAUACAUAUUCCCUUUUAUUAUGAGAGUGAAAAAUCAAGCGAUAUUUGUUCAACUUAUGUAUAUAUGCAUUAUUAUUUUAUUAUUUGAUAUGACAACUGUUUUAUUAAUUUUUUUAAAUGAAAUAAUGUUUUGUGUACAAUAUGAUGUUAAAUAUUUUUAUACAUUUUCAAUAAUCCUUGUUGAUGAUUUCAGGAAAUUGAAAGCUCUUAAAUCACUGCUCACCAUGUUACAUAGUUUAAAAGUAUCGGACCCAACAGUGAGUGAUUACAUGCAAAAGUUGAGUCAAAUCAGGGCAAAGUUCAAGCAGGUUACCUCUCUUCUAGGAGUACAGGUGCAGUUUGGUAAUACAGAAACUACUAAGGUGCAACAAUCGUUAUCAUUUUGAAA